GGGAAGAAAUAGAUCCACCCACCUCGAACGCAGCGCCUUGGGCGCAUGCGCUUAGCGUUUAGCCAGGCGUUUUCCGGUGAAAAGUGGUAUUUCCAAGAGGAGGGGGUCGUUCGCUUGCCCGGAAGUGGUCCCGCCGAGAAGGCGAACGGAGUGGCGGUGAGAUUGUCGGGACAGAGUGGCGUUAGGCCUACUCCGGUCGCGCAGCUAGGCGUGAGGCGAGAAGGGAAAAAGAUCCUCCACGGUUGGCCGUCUCACUACAAAUCAGAUGACUUCAUUCAGUUUUGUCAGUUACUGAAGGAUGAGGCAUUGGCCACCAGAGAUGGAAUUCGGUUGAAAUGAGAAUAGUAAAACUACAAGAGGACAGAAGAAUUAAAAGCCAACAGCUUCUCCUGUCUCAAUAAAAGAAAGAUCUAUGGUUAAGGCUCCCUUUCCAGAUAGUCCCAACAGCUAAGGCACCGGUUUCCGAGGGCACGUGCACCACCUGUGGAAAACACCGGAUCUGUGUGCACCAGAUGUUCUCGGCAACUCGUCCCACCGCCCGUCUGCACAUGAUCUGCCGCGCCAGCAGACUCUGAAGGCAGCCACUGAGUUUCUUCUUACUGCCAAGUAGAUACAAUACCCUGGCAACAAAACAGAGGACACGAGUGUCUCUUCACAGUAUCACGACAACUUGAAACCACACUAAGAAAAUCAGUUUGCCUAGAUGAGGACCCUUUCUCUUCUUGGGUAGCCAGGAUUUAAAGGAGAAACUCGGACCUGUGCCGCUGGUAAGUGACUAACACUUUUACACACCGAACUGCUCCUGAGAACUGAGAUGCCUUCUUUGUAAGGGAAGAAAACACAACAUGAUCUCGAAGAACUGCACAGUGGGACAAGCCAGAGGCAUACUGUGCGUGUAACGGACUCAAAAACAGGCAAGUUGAUCUUGUUGAAAGGAUUUUUCAUCUUUUGUUUAUGUUCACCAGUGUUAGUCAUUGUUUUGCUGGCUUAAAUUGUUAACCUUUCUCUGGUUCCUUCUCCUGUUCUGUUCUAAUGGGUCCCAGAAAUCCCUCUCCUGACCCCUUGUCAGAAUCGGAAAGUGAAGAAGAAGAAAAUGCUAACUACCUAAAUGAUAGUUCUGGGGAAGAGUGGGAUUCCUCCGAAGAAGAGGAUCCUGUGGUGCCCAACCUGACACCUCUUGAGAGUCUUGCCUGGCAGGUUAAGUGCCUUUUAAAAUAUUCAACAACUUGGAAACCUUUAAAUCCCAAUUCCUGGUUAUAUCAUGCUAAACUCUUAGAUCCAAGCACACCGGUCCAUAUACUUCGGGAGAUAGGUCUGAGGCUCUCCCAUUGCUCCCACUGUGUGCCCAAACUGGAACCGAUUCCUGAAUGGCCACCCCUGGCUUCUUGUGGAGUCCCACCUUUUCAGAAGCCCCUGACAAGUCCCAGCCGGCUUUCCAGAGACCAUGCCACCCUGAACGGAGCGCUGCAGUUUGCCACCAAGCAGUUAAGCCGAACCUUGAGUAGAGCCACUCCCAUAACUGAAUACCUAAAACAGAUCCCUAAUUCGUGUGUCUCUGGUUGUUGCUGUGGCUGGUUAACCAAAACGGUUAAGGAAACAACCCGCACUGAACCAAUCAACACUACUUACUCUUACACUGACUUUCAAAAGGCAGUUAACAAACUCUUAACUGCAUCACUAUAAAACCCACCAUUUGUUCUGAUAUCUCGUAUUGCUAGUUGAGAAAGCAGUACAAAGCUACACAGCCCAGAGCUGCGAGAGGAAUGCCGCCUCCACCAAACUGCCCUGGCGGGCCAGUAUACCAAGUACUGGAUAUAUGCCCAAGAGGCCCGUAGCUCAGCUGCAGAAAACGUGCAUCACGGCUUUCCCUUUGAUAGAUCCUGUGGAUAAAAUGAGAACUUUAAUGGAGAAUUAGUCAAAAGGUACCAUAUUGCAAAAGAUACAUUAUUCUCUACAUUCUGUUCUCCACCCCCUCUCAAUUUACUCCACCUACCUGAAUGGAUUCCAGCUAGAUACCUAAUUAUCAACGGGAAGGAAAAGGUAGGCUCCUACCCCUUUUGUUGCCCAUCCUUCACAACAGCUACAGCAGAAAGUGUAGUCAGCUACUCCCAACCACACCUGCCUGGGCAUAGUCUUCUCGGGCAUGCGUUUUUAGGGAGGUAGUGGGAUUAAAUUAAUUAACUAGGCAAAAGAAAAUGGUGGGAAUAGGAUGCGUCUCCUAGCUUUUCUAUGGAUAGGUCUAUUGUGGCACACUUUAGGGGUUCCUAUUUUGGGGGAGAGAGUGCAGUUUCAAACCUAUAGUCUAAUGCUCCAGACCUAUUACAGUACCUGUGAUUACAGCAUAAACAUUUUGUAAGUUCCCAUCAGGCUCUCUGUAAUUAAGCUGACCUGUACGAUGGUACCUGGGGAUUAAACAGACACCUUUUCCAUAGGGAAUAUAUUUCCUGCAUCUUAGCACUCAGACUUUAGUCGAGAGGAAAUAAAACACAUUCCAAAAGACCAAAGGGAAAGGAUGAUUAAGAGAGCAUUUAUAUUUUCAAUGCUAACUGCUAAAGGAUUCAAGUCUUCCCGGCUGUUUCCUAGAGCAGCACUUCAUGCACUUUCCCCAUCCACUGCAGACUUUCCGGGAUCGCGUCUAACUUUCAGGAACCUGACUACAGAAAACCUCAGCCUAAUACAACCUGAAGUCAGUUUUUAGUAUCACUUUUUUUCUACAUAGCUUAGCUAUAUCUGAACAAGUGUACGUACUGUUGUAAAUGAACCUUGCAGUGUUUAGUUGAGUCAAAAUGUAGAAGUCGACAUAAAAUGCAUGGGACCAUUAGAUCUUCUCACACACCUUCAAUAAAGAGUGAAACCUGUGUAUGAUCCUGGUUAACAGGGCAUCUAAAGGGUGCAGAAAGUAUUGUUAAAGAUAUAUUAUACACCCCCUUUAGUUUUGCUUUUUUCCUCUUCUCCAUUACUAAGUGCUAUGUACAAUGUGGCAUCAAAAAUUAAAGCAUUAAUAGAAUCACAAAUUUUUAAAUGUGUAGCAACUUUAGGAAGAGAGAAGAAUGUUUAUAACCUAAUGAGUAUUUCUGCUGAGCCUUAGUUUUCUUAAGGGAAAAACAAGGAGGGGGUUGUAGUAGGUAGAAAAAAUAUGUUAGUGGAGAGUUACUGAACUGAAACGUAUUAUACUGUUAGUAUAACUGAAUGUGUCAGAAACUGUUUCUAUGUAGCUGUUUUCUGUGAAACUGGUUUUUAAAAUGUUACACCUGUUUCUUUAAGGGGGAGGUGGGAAAGAUAAGGAGGUCUAAAAAAUUAAAGUAUGUCGAUGUUUAUGUAACCAUAAUAUGUUCUUUUUUCUGUGUAUGUGUGCACGAGUGUGUGCACGCAUUUAUGUGUGUAAAAAUGCUUUCCUCAUAAACGCAUUUUUCCUAUUUACUGCUAAAGGAAGCCUUUCCCCAGCUUUGCAGCUGAAUAAACCAACAGCUUUGUACAUGCUGAA